rnacentral:lncRNA from 1 species
AAAAGAAAAAAGAUCUAAUUUGCUCAAGUUGCCUCAAUAGUCAAUUCAAAUAAAAAUAAAUCAAGAUUCUGGAAGUUGACUACAAAAUCUUCGAUAUUUGUUUGAUACUUAAGCAUUUUAAGUACAAACAAAGUACUUACAACUAUUCAUACUAAUUAUAUAAAUAAAUGAACAGCAUCCAUUUCGAAAGUUUAUGGGAUAUUGUAAUGACUAUGAUUCGGCUAUGAGACGGUGUCUUAAGCAAGAGAGACUACGUCGGCAAAGA